UACGGAGGGGGCUAGCGUUGUUCGGAAUUACUGGGCGUAAAGCGCGCGUAGGCGGCUUUGUAAGUUAGAGGUGAAAGCCUGGAGCUCAACUCCAGAACUGCCUUUAAGACUGCAUCGCUAGAAUCGUGGAGAGGUGAGUGGAAUUCCGAGUGUAGAGGUGAAAUUCGUAGAUAUUCGCAAGAACACCAGUGGCGAAGGCGGCUCACUGGCCCAUAACUGACGCUGAGGCACGAAAGCGUGGGGAGCAAACAGG
rnacentral:rRNA from 1 species